ACAAAUUCCAAAACUCGUGUUUGGUAUUUGGUCAUAUGACUUUGUAAGGCAAGCGUCAUUAUCAUUUAUUGAUGAUGAGCUCGUUUUAUGAUCUUAUAUACCUUUUACCAGUCAUAUAACACAAAACACUUACAUUUAAAAUAUACAAUUUGACAACAAAUGGAACGAGAAUUGAAAUCGUUAAAAAUUAAAUAAUUUUAAUAA
rnacentral:misc_RNA from 1 species